AUCCUUCGUAGUUCAUAAAACAUAUGAUGAAUGGGAGUUCAUGUGCCUGCAUGAGAUAUGCUGCCUAGUUUACCUUGUUACAUAAGGCAUAUUACCCUUCUGACC